rnacentral:sRNA from 1 species
GAAUCUCCAGAACAAACCUACACGAGCAAGGAGGUUAAUGGGGCUGUUUCUGGGUCCAAGCUCCAAGAGGAAGGAGGGUGAUGAUGGUGGGGGGAAUUCAAAUUCGGUGUUCUACUCUCAACCUCUCCCAGCUUCAGGCGUCCGACCUGUGGAAAUCUAACAAGCAUAGGGGAAAGCAAAGGCAGCAUCUUAGGUAAGUGAAGUUACUCUUGCCUUGAGCUGAGUGUGGGAGCACCGCGAUUGCAAGAUGGGGCGAGGUGAUCAAAGAUCCCGCCUAUUUUCAACCCCGGAACCUCCUCCGCUCGCUGCUAGCCCUCCCGCCCUCCUCCAGCGACGGAGCGCCAGGCUGUCCUGGCCCCGCCCGGCGCGGGUGCGGCUCCUUUAAGGGCGGGUGGGGGCGGGGCGCCGGCGGUGUUGUCAGUGUCAGCUCUGCGCACGCAGCCCUCCCGGAGCCGGUGCCGGCCCGCGAGCCCCAGCGUCUCUGCAGACCAGUCCCCUCCAAGGUCCGGCGGGGCCCGCGCGGUGGGAGGAGUCGGGCACUGGCCGGCGACUAACUGGGGUCCGACUGCUGACCAAGCUAGGAGAGACCCGGGCCACGGAGACAGAGACCCCGGCAUCGCGACCCCCGAGGACCUCCUCUCCUCG